GGAAUAUUGCACAAUGGGGGAAACCCUGAUGCAGCGACGUCGCGUGAAGGAAGAAGUAUCUCGGUAUGUAAACUUCUAUCAGCAGGGAAGAUGAUGACGGUACCUGACUAAGAAGCCCCGGCUAACUACGUGCCAGCAGCCGCGGUAAUACGUAGGGGGCAAGCGUUAUCCGGAUUUACUGGGUGUAAAGGGAGCGUAGACGGCAUGUCAAGUCUGAUGUGAAAGGCUGGGGCUUAACCCCGGGACUGCAUUGGAAACUGGCAGGCUGGAGUGCCGGAGGGGUAAGCGGAAUUCCUAGUGUAGCGGUGAAAUGCGUAGAUAUUAGGAGGAACACCAGUGGAGAAGGCGGCUUACUGGACGUGCACUGACGUUAAGGCUCGAAAGCGUGGGGAGCAAACA
rnacentral:rRNA from 1 species